rnacentral:rRNA from 1 species
UACGGGGGGGGCAAGCGUUGUUCGGAAUUACUGGGCGUAAAGGGUUUGUAGGUGGCUUGUUAAGUCAGACGUGAAAUCCCUCAGCUUAACUGGGGAACUGCGUCUGAUACUGGCGAGCUUGAGUGCAGGAGAGGAACGCGGAAUUCCAGGUGUAGCGGUGAAAUGCGUAGAUAUCUGGAGGAACACCGGUGGCGAAGGCGGCAUCCUGGACCAACACUGACACUGAUGAGCGAAAGCCAGGGGAGCAAACGGG